rnacentral:rRNA from 1 species
AGCGAACGUUUGCGGCGGGCCUAACACAUGCAAGUCGAACGCACUAGCAAUAGUGAGUGGCGCACGGGUGCGUAACACGUGGGUAGUCAACCCUUCAGCUUGGGAUAACGACUUGAAAGGGUCGCUAAUACCGGAUACGGCGCGGGAGGCUUCGGCUUCUCACGAGAAAGCCUCGCAAGGGGCACUGAAGGACGAGCCUGCGGCCCAUCAGCUAGUUGGUGAGGUAAGAGCUCACCAAGGCGAAGACGGGUAGCUGGUCUGAGAGGAUGAUCAGCCACACUGGAACUGAGACACGGUCCAGACUCCUACGGGAGGCAGCAGUGGGGAAUAUUGCGCAAUGGGCGAAAGCCUGACGCAGCCACGCCGCGUGAGCGAUG